GCUGGGCGUAGUGGCGCACGCCUGUAAUCCCAGCAGCUCGGGAGGCUAAGGCAGGGGGAUCACAAAUUUAAAGCCAGCCUCAGCAAAAGUGAGGUACUGAGCAGCACAGUGAGACCCUGUCUCUA
rnacentral:sRNA from 1 species